rnacentral:rRNA from 1 species
GGCCGUUAUAAAAUCCGGCUAUAUGCUGGGACGCCUGGUGUAUCCCAUGCUACCGAGGAGGUGAAAAAGCAUUGGGUGCAGGUAAUCAGCAGGAAAGAUUCUCUACAAUCGAGGCAAAAAAAUGGUUCCUUGCUGGAGUUAUAGAAGGAGAAGGAAGUUUAUGUGUAUCAAUUAAAGAACAUAAAGCAUCUAAAUUCGGAUUUUUUGUAGAUCCUGAGUUUUAUAUAUAUCAACAUAAAAAAGGAAUAUCAUUAUUAAAAAUGGCUAAAGAAAUUUUUGGAACAGGAAGAAUUUAUAAUAAACCAGGAAAUGAAAAUGUAAUGGUAUUUGCUAUUACCUGUAGAAGAAGUUUAAAAGAGAAGGUAAUACCUUUUUUAGAAAAGUAUAUGGCCUUUUCUACUAAAAAAGAAGAAAUACGUAAAUUUAAAGAAAUAGUUAAUGCAUUAGAAAGCAAGGAACAUUUGCGCCCUGAAGGUAUGAUCCGCAUAGUCAAGAAGGCUUAUGCGAUGAAUUCAGCCGGAAAGGGUAAAAAGCGAAGUAAGUCGCUUAACGAGAUUGUAGAGAAAAUCCUCAGAGACCAUACGCCGGACUAAUACCUUAAAGGUAUUAGAAGAUAUGGUCCAGUCCAUAUAGCGAUAUAUGGGGGUACUGCCUAAGGUAGCGAAAUUCCUUGCCACGUAAGUUGUGGCCUGCAUGAAAGGCGUAACGACUGGGACACUGUCUCGGGGAGGGGCACGGUGAAAUUGCAGACCCUGUGAAGAUGCAGGGUAGCAGCAGCAAGACGGAAAGACCCUGUGAAGCUUUACUGCAGCUUGGUGCUGAAUUCUUGACUGCUUUGUACAGGAUAGGUGGGAGGCUAGGAUGUGUUAACGCCAGUUAACACGGAGCCGCCCUUGGGAUACCACCCCUAGCAGUUGGGGAUUCUAACGCUAUAAGCGGACAACGCCAGGUGGGCAGUUUCACUGGGGCAGUGGCCUCCUAAAAGGUAAUGGAGGCGUCCAAAGCUCACCUCAGCCCGGUCGGAAAUCGGGUGUUGAGUGCAAAGGCAUAAGGUGGGUUUACUGUGAGAGGGACACCUCGAGCAGUUGCGAAAGCAGGGCUUAGUGAUCCGGCGGAUCCGUAUGGAAGGGCCGUCGCUCAGCGGAUAAAAGUUACUCCGGGGAUAACAGGCUUGUGGCGCCCAAGAGUUCAUAUCGACGGCGCCGUUCGGCACCUCGAUGUCGGCUCAUCGCAUCCUGGGGCUGAAGAAGGUCCCAAGGGUCGGGCUGUUCGCCCGUUAAAGCGGUACGUGAGCUGGGUUCAGAGCGUCGUGAGACAGCUCGGUCCCUAUCUGCUGCUGCCGCAGGAGAUUUGAGGGGAGUCGCCUCUAGUACGAGAGGACCGAGGCGAAUACACCGCUGAUGUACCGGCUGUUAAGCCAUUAGCAGCGCCGGGUAGUCAUGUGUAGACGGGAUAACCGCUGAAAGCAUCUAAGCGGGAAGCCCACCCCAAGAUAAGAUCUCCCUUUACCGUAAGGUAAGUAAGGUCCCCGGUAGAACACCGGGUAUAUAGGCCAGAGAUGGAAGCCCAGUAAUGGGUGAAGUUGACUGGUA